UACGUAGGUGGCAAGCGUUGUCCGGAUUUACUGGGUGUAAAGGGUGCGUAGGCGGCUUUGCAAGUCAGAAGUGAAAUCCAUGGGCUUAACCCAUGAACUGCUUUUGAAACUGCAAGGCUUGAGUGAAGUAGAGGCAGGCGGAAUUCCCGGUGUAGCGGUGAAAUGCGUAGAGAUCGGGAGGAACACCAGUGGCGAAGGCGGCCUGCUGGGCUUUAACUGACGCUGAGGCACGAAAGCAUGGGUAGCAAACAGG
rnacentral:rRNA from 1 species